CUUACGUAAAAACUGUCAUCGGUCGUCGUGCUGAUUUCGUUGCGUAUAUGUUUCCUAUGUCGUGUCUUUUUACACAUUUUUAGUCUCUUUUUCUUUUUCGUUCCGUCUACAAUUUGUAACGUUAUCUUUGACAUCAGUGCCACUGCAUGCGACCAAUUUAACAAUUUAUUCAUACACAUAUCAGAAAUUUUAUUGCGAUUUUUCGAUAUGAAUUUUCUCGUCUUCGAUUUAGAGGAUAUCAAGGAAAUUGUGGGACAAUUUAUUUUAGCUAACGAUCUCUUUAACCCGUUGCUAUUCUCAGACAACAAUUACCUCCGAAAAGCGAUCUAUCGCGCCCCUCAGAUUAGAUCCUCAAUUUCUUCACGGAAGAAUCGGCCGUGGUCGAAUAAAAUCUCGCUCGGAGCAGUCCGUACUCCAAAGUGUGCUGUGCCAGUUAAGGAAUCUCACGCGGUAUUGUAUGCUAAUGCAAAUGCGCACGUCCUCGCCCAUGAUGUAUCGGUAACGGUGCCCGGCCGUAGAAUGGUAUGGCAGUCUCGUGUUCGAACUUAAGCGGCCUAACGCCGACACGGGCACGUCCGACGAAGAAAUUCACCCACGUGUCCGUGGCCGCCUGUGAAUUUCCACGUCGGGGACCUUCGCGUCGCGUGGCCGUCAGACGGCGCGACGGAAGUAACACUCGUCGCGAUCCCCGACGACGGCAUCGGCCGCCCCGAGCGGAGCCAGUAGCGAGUAGUCUCUGCGGUCGUACGGAGUACGAGCACACGUGUCGCUGCCAUCCGCGGACUCAAACGCGAUCGUGACGAAUUCUCUGGCCGUCUCUGCCUGAUCUGCGACGUGUCUGAAUUGUCGCGGAUUGGAUUAGAAAAGAUCAAAACCUUCUGGAGUGACGGACUCUUCCUGAGCUUUAAUUUAAGGCUUGACGCGCCUUAAAUUAAAUCGGAAUCGAAGCCGCGGACAGGCAAAAAGUGCGUAGCAGAAUUAACGUGUUCGUAGUGGGAGAAUGGACGAUUCAUUCAGGAACUCGCACGCGUGAAAUAUUCUUCCUCGUCUCUCUCAAGAGUGUCGGAAUGCGGGUUCGAUUUCUACGUCUCUCCCCCCGUCGUGCGCCCCAAGUAUAGGGCACAUUUUCGGAUCGUUCGCGGCUGUGGAAAAGAUCGUGAGCGAGGAAAAAGGAACGUCGCAUUUUACAAUCAAUAAUGACCAGAUGACUUGAGAGAAAACCUCCGCGAGGCGAUGCCGUCUUAUCGGGACGUGGUUUAAAGGUCAGCUCCGCGAUGAAGAUAUCGGUAACAGGCCAGUGACGAGCGAGAACGUCACGUCACGUGUAUAUAAAUAUGUAUACGCUUAUAUAAAUAUAUUAUUAUGUUUC